rnacentral:rRNA from 2 species
GACAGAGGGUGCAAACGUUGUUCGGAAUUACUGGGCGUAAAGCGUGUGUAGGCGGCUACGCAAGUCGGAUGUGAAAGCCCCGGGCUCAACCCGGGAAGUGCACCCGAAACUGCGUGGCUCGAGUACCGGAGAGGUUGGUGGAAUUCUCGGUGUAGAGGUGAAAUUCGUAGAUAUCGAGAGGAACACCGGUGGCGAAGGCGGCCAACUGGACGAGUACUGACGCUGAGACACGAAAGCGUGGGGAGCAAACAGG